rnacentral:rRNA from 1 species
UACGAAGGGGGCUAGCGUUGCUCGGAAUCACUGGGCGUAAAGGGUGCGUAGGCGGGUCUUAAGUCAGGGGUGAAAUCCUGGAGCUCAACUCCAGAACUGCCUUUGAUACUGAAGAUCUUGAGUUCGGGAGAGGUGAGUGGAACUGCGAGUGUAGAGGUGAAAUCGUAGAUAUUCGCAAGAACACCAGUGGCGAAGGCGCUCACUGGCCCCGAUACUGACGCUGAGG